rnacentral:rRNA from 1 species
UACGAAGGGGGCUAGCGUUGCUCGGAAUGACUGGGCGUAAAGGGCGCGUAGGUGGCCCGGUCAGUUCGUGGUGAAAGCGCGGGGCUCAACCCUGCGUCGGCCAUGAAUACUGCCGCGGCUGGAGCACUGUAGAGGCAGGCGGAAUUCCGGGUGUAGCGGUGGAAUGCGUAGAGAUCCGGAAGAACACCGGUGGCGAAGGCGGCCUGCUGGGCAGUUGCUGACACUGAGGCGCGACAGCGUGGGGAGCGAACAGG